GACGAACGCUGGCGGCGUGCCUAAUACAUGCAAGUCGAACGGAAAGGCCCUGCUUUUGUGGGGUGCUCGAGUGGCGAACGCGUGAGUAACACGUGAGUAACCUGUCCUUGUCUUUGGGAUAACUCCAGGAAACUGGGGCUCAUACCGGAUAGGAGCUCCUGCUGCACAGGGGGGGUUGGAAAGUUUCGGCGGUUGGGGCUGGACUAGCGGCUUAUCAGCUUGUUGGUGGGGUAGUGGCUUACCAAGGCUUUGACGGGUAGCCGGCCUGGGAGGGUGACCGGCCACAUUAGGCCUGAGAUACGGCCCAGACUCCUACGGGAGGCAGCAGUGGAGAAUAUUGCACAAUGGGCGGAAGCCUGAUGCAGCAACGCCGCGUGCGGGAUACCGGCCUUCGGGUUGUAAACCGCUUUCGCCUGUGACGAAGCGUGAGUGACGGUAAUGGGUAAAGAAGCACCGGCUAACUACGUG
rnacentral:rRNA from 1 species